rnacentral:rRNA from 1 species
UACGUAGGGGGCGAGCGUUGUCCGGAUUUAUUGGGCGUAAAGCGCACGCAGGCGGUGCGGUAAGUUUGGGGUGACAGCGGUCGGCUUAACCGGUCGAGUGUCCCAAGGACUGCCGCACUUGAGGGCCAAAGAGGAACACAGAAUUCCGGGUGGAGUGGUGAAAUGCGUAGAUAUCCGGAGGAAUACCAAAGGCGAAGGCAGUGUUCUGGGUGGCUCCUGACGCUCAGGUGCGAAAGCUAGGGGAGCGAACGGG